UUUUUGCACUCACUAAAUAAU
rnacentral:piRNA from 1 species